rnacentral:rRNA from 1 species
CACGUAGUUAGCCGUGACUUCCUCGCCGGGUACCAUCACUCAGAAAGCUUUCCACUCUUUCUGCCUUUUGUCCCCGGCAACAGAGCUUUACGAUCCGAAGACCUUCCUCGCUCACGCGGCAUUGCUCGUUCAGGGUUCCCACCAUUGACGAAAAUUCCCUACUGCUGCCUCCCGCAGGAGUCUGGGCCGUGUCUCAGUCCCAGUGUGGCCGUCCACCCUCUCAGGCCGGCUAUGCAUCGUCGCCUUGGUGAGCCGUUACCUCUCCAACCAGCUAAUGCACCGCAGGUCCAUCUGCAUGCGGGACUCUUGUCCCUUUCAAAAAGAGAUGCCUCCUCUUUGCUCAUCCGGUAUCAGCUUCCGUUUCCAGAAGUUCUCCCGCUCAUGCAGGCAGGUUCCCUACGUGUUACUCACCGUUCGCCACUCAUAUCCGAAGAUAUCCGUUCGACUUGCAUGUAUAGCAUGCCGCAGCGUUCAU